rnacentral:rRNA from 1 species
ACUCAAAGGAAUUGACGGGGGCCCGCACAAGCGGCGGAGCAUGUGGAUUAAUUCGAUGCAACGCGAAGAACCUUACCUGGGUUUGACAUGCACCAGACAGGCGUAGAGAUACGUCCUCCCUUGUGGUUGGUGUGCAGGUGGUGCAUGGCUGUCGUCAGCUCGUGUCGUGAGAUGUUGGGUUAAGUCCCGCAACGAGCGCAACCCUUGUCCCAUGUUGCCAGCGGGUUAUGCCGGGGACUCAUGGGAGACUGCCGGGGUCAACUCGGAGGAAGGUGGGGAUGACGUCAAGUCAUCAUGCCCCUUAUGUCCAGGGCUUCACACAUGCUACAAUGGCCGGUACAGAGGGCUGCGAAGCCGCGAGGUGGAGCGAAUCUCUUAAAGCCGGUCUCAGUUCGGAUCGGGGUCUGCAACUCGACCCCGUGAAGUCGGAGUCGCUAGUAAUCGCAGAUCAGCAACGCUGCGGUGAAUACGUUCCCGGGCCUUGUACACACCGCCCGU